rnacentral:lncRNA from 1 species
GUUUACAACUAUUUUCACCUCACUAUAUUGGUUCUUAUUUUAUCUCUGAGAAUAUUUUGUAUUUGACAAAUUUCUCAACAGACAACAUUGGAAGACCAUUUUUUCAGAAAGUUUGGUGCACAGAAUGCAAUGAAGAAUACUGAGCCAUUCACAUAAAAAAUAUUUUUGGUGACAGUGCAAUUUUAAAAAUUUAUUAUUCAAC